UUUGGGCCGCAGACCUGGGUGGUCUCAGGACUCCAGCGGCCUGUUGGGGUGAAGUGGGGUGGGGUCGGGGCGCGGCACAGCUUCCCAAGGAAGUCACAGGACCUCGCCUCGGGAUAUUCAGAAGUGCUAGUCCAGUUCUGGCAGCCUGAACUCUUCCUCCUCCAAGGGGUGCUGUACUCGGCGUGUGGGUUUUGAAGCAGUGGGCGUUCGACUUCAGAGUUGUUUUCCUUGAGGCGCUGAUACCGGCCUUGGCGGAGGAGAAUGACGGUAUUCAUGUGUUUCUGGGUGGUUGCCUGAACAAGGGAGUUCAGCCUUUGGGAGAUAAAGCAGGAUAUGAAGCUGCUACCAGGGAGGUCCAGUUUCUGAAACACUGGAAUCGUGUGAGCAGAAGUCGCCACUCACACCAGCCCUUGGUGUGAGGAGGAGGACAUUUGAGGGCAAGCCUGACCAGGUGGGAGGUCCUGAUGCCCUUCCCAGGACUGGGCACUGCGGUGGCCCCAGCACAGGGCAGGGCCCACCUGAAGCAGUGUGACCUGCUGAAGUUGUCCCGGCAGCAGAAGCAGCUCUGCGGGAGGGAGCCCAGCCUGGCUGAGACCCUGUGGGACGCCAUGCACCUCGGCCUGGAGUGCCAGUUCCAGUUCCGGCAUGAGCGCUGGAACUACAGCUUGGAGGCACGGUUCCAUAUGAGAAGAGUCCCGGGAUUAAUGAGGGGCAGUUGAAGACCAGGUGUGGCCCAGCCUCAGGUUUCGGGGAGCAGAGGAGCAAGGAAGAUCCAAGAGAAGAGGAGACACAAGUCCGGUCCUGGAGGAGCCCACAGAUGAGAGGGGGGUCCCCUAGUUACCUUCCUCUGCCUCUUCACACACACAUGCGAAACAAGGCACAUGAAGACAUGAGGACAGGCAGCAGCGGGUUCCAGGACCCAUGACAUGAGCCAGGCCAUGCAUUUGUUCACUCCUUUAGCUGUCCCUUUGUUCAUCACAUCCAUUGAUCCAUCAGUCCCUCCCUCCCUUCCACUCCCAUUCUACCUCCCUCCCUUCUUCCUGCCUCCCUCCCACCUCCACCCACCCACUAAGCAUCCAUGGAGGCCCACAGUAAGCCAGGCACUGUGCUAGAUGCUGGAGGUUCAGAGCUGAACAAGACCCCAGCUGCCCUUGGGAAGCAUGCAGUCUAGAAGGGAGAACACAGGUCACCAUGUGACUCCCUCACCAAGGGGAAAGGGCUUUGAUGGGACAUUUUUUUAAAAAAUGCAGUGAUGCUGUACAGGGCAGCCAGGCCUCUCCUAGGCCAGCUGCUCUCCACUGUCAGCAGUCAAGCUGAUGGCCUCUCUCAGGACAUCACUAGCACCCAGAUGCACUGAGGGCAGGUAGGAAGUAGUGAGCCGGUGGGAGGACAGCUUUGGGCCACACCCAGCAGAAAGGAGUAGCGGUGGUCCCGGAGUGGGUGGGAUGGUCAGUCUGGGGCAAGUCAGCCAGGAGACUCAAGGUCACUCUAUCAUUGGGUCUAUUCCACAGUGGGUAGCAGAGAAUGAUAUUUGAGAACCAUCAUGCAUCACAGGAAGCCCCCGGCGCUUAUCUCAGCGGCCUCAGAAAUAGGCCGAUCCAAAUGGUCACACACUGACUUGGAGUCAAAAUGGCGGGUUUAGCCCCAGCUGUGGUGGCACCAGUUCCUGGAAUGAGUAAGAGAGUCUGGAAGAGCAAGGGGCUGAGAGCCUUCAGUGCCUGCAGAAAAGCCUGGGUUUGUAAGGGCAGCCAAGGCUGCAAAGGGACACAUGGUUUGAGCUCUUGAGCUCUUCAACACUGGGCUGUGACAAAUGGGGAUAAGGAAUAGCCUGUUUGCUGGUAUUUAGGGUACACUGGUCCCCAGAUAUCUCCUCCCACCUGUACUAUGGAAAUUUAUCAUGGGAAUUUCAUUUCUUUUUCUAGAGAUUCUUGGCUGCGUAGAAAUGCGGUCCUGGUCUCACUUGGCUACUGAGCCAUCCCAUAAACUUCAGUGAUAUUGA